rnacentral:tRNA from 1 species
GCACCUAUCGUCUAGUGGUCUAGGACCCACGCCUUUCGAGCGUGUAACCGGGAUUCGAAUUCCCGUAGGUGUACCA